UCGUAAAGCAAAAUUGUAUAGCGCUGAUUCUUUGUGGAAUCUUAUAUAUAAAAUUGUCCAAAGCAAUGAACAAUUUAGGGUUGAUAAUUCAUUUACUGUAAUAGUAAAAAGCGUGAAAGAUAAUCGCGGUGGUGGGGGGAAAGCAAUGGUUUACAAUGAUAUUAACGUUCGUAAAAAAUCAUUGUUAACUAUUAACAAUAAAGAUAAUCUUUGUUUACCACGUGCUCUCGUAGCUGCGCAAGUUUACGCAGAACGUGGUUUGUUAAGAAAAGGUGAAUUACAUAAACGUUGGGAACUUGUCAGACACCCGGCUAGAUCACACCAGCUUGUACUAGCAAAAGAACUUGUACAAAAGGCAGGUAUAGUAAUACCUGAGGAAGGUUGUGGUAUGGCGGAAAUAAUUUCUUUUCAAAAAUAUUUGGCUCGUGAAAAAAUAGCUAUUUUCGUUCACGACUUUAAUAAUUUUGGACAAGCAACAAAACCUUUAUACUACAAUGGUACCCAUGAAAUUACAGAUAUUGGUGAAACUGUUAAAUUUAAUUUGCAUAUAAUGUUUUACCCUUUGCAAAAGCAUUAUAACGUGAUUUUAAAUUUAACAGGGUUAGCAAGUACUCAAUUUUUUUGCGUGCCAUGUAAUAAAAAAUUUAAAAACCCAAAUGGACACAAUUGUUUAAACAGAUGUACUUCUUGUUUAAAAUCUCCUGCUUGCAAAACAAAAGUUGAAGAUGACAAAAUUGUAGAAGUACAAUGUGAGUCAUGUAAACGAUUUUUUAAUGGUAUGAAAUGUUAUGAAAAUCAUACCACUAAAGGUUCGUUUACAUCGGAAAGUAGCGUUUGUGAGAAGCUACGUAUUUGUGAUGGUUGUGCACGUUUGAUUAAUCAUGGCACUGAAAAAAAUCAUGAAUGUGGUCGUUUCUUUUGCAAAACGUGUUUAUGUAAAAUGGAUUACAAUCAUGAUUGUUUUAUGGGUAGUCUGAAAGAUCAGGAGAGAAAAAAUGAGAAACCUACUAGUUUCGUUUUUUACGAUCUUGAAACACAACAGGGUCAAGAAAUGACAGGUGUACCCAACGUUAAUGUUCAUGUGCCUAAUCUGUGUGUAGUACAAAGAGUUUGUACAAGGUGUAUUAAUGAGACUAAUAUUAAUAUAAAUUGUGAAUUAUGUGGUAAUCGACAAAUUAUUUACCGUGGUUCAAAUGUUGUUUCAGAUUUUGUGAAUCUCGUCACAAAAAAACAAACAACUUUUGAAAGUGUCGUGUGUAUAGCACAUAAUGCUAAAGCGUUUGAUUCGCAAUUUAUAUUAAAAUAUUUAGUUGAGAAGACUGGUACGCAAACAAAACCUUCUGUAAUUAUGACAGGUACAAAUAUUAUACUAAUACAGGUUGGGCACACAAAAUUCAUAGACAGUUUAAAUUACCUCCACUUACCAUUGAGUGCGUUACCUGCUGCGUUCGGAUUCUCGGAUGUUGCAAUGAAAGGGACAUUUCCUCAUUUAUUCAACACCUUAGAGAAUAGCGAGUGCAGUAAUGGAGAAGGGUAUAUAGGCUGUAUACCUGAGGCCAAGUUUUACUCGCCAGACUCAAUGUCUAAAAAGAAGCGAGAGGAAUUUUACCUGUGGUAUAGAGAAAUGACAAAUGACAAAAAUUAUGUUUUUAAUUUUUGGAAGGAGUUAAUUGAUUAUUGCGUCAAUGACGUCACAAUUUUACGGUUAGCCUGUUUAUCUUUUAGAGAAAUUUUUUUCGAACGUGGUGGAUUUUGUCCAUUUACAAAAUGUGUCACAAUUGCUUCUGCGUGUAUGACACUGUUUAGAAAAAAAUUUUUAAGAAAAGACACAAUAGGUCUUCCUCCAAAUAAAGGAUAUCGUGUGUCAAAUAAUCAGUCGAAAAAAGCAAUUGAAUGGUUAUUUUGGUUAGAACACACGCUACGUAAGAACAUAGUACAUGCUGGAAAAUGCCGUGAAUACAGACUAAAAGAAGGCUUGCUUGUGAACGGAUACUACGAAGAGCAAGGUAACCGUCAUGUUUUACAAUUUCACGGUUGCUUCUAGCAUGGUUGUGUCAUUUGUUAUAAAUUGAAUAGAGAUGUAAAGCCCAGGAACGGAGAAAGCCCAUCUGUAAAAUAUGAACGGACACGUGUCCAAUCAUCAAAAAUAGAAGCAGCAGGUUAUGUAUUGACAGAAAUGUGGGAAUGCCAAUUCGAUGAAAUGAAAAAGGAUAAUUUAGAUUUAAAUAUUUUUUUGAAAAAUAAUAAAUUUAUUUACGAAGCACCUUUAAAUCCUAGAGAUGCCUUUUUGGUGGUCGAACAGGUAAUACUGUCUGUUUUUAUGAUGUAAAAGAUGGUGAAAAAAUAUCUUAUAUAGAUAUUUGUUCAUUAUAUCCUUAUAUUUGUAAAACAGGUAAGUUUCCCAUUGGUCAUCCCGAACUUUACAUAGGAGAAGAGUGUAAAAAGUUGAUGGGUGAUGACGUGUCAGAUGUAUCAAAACUUGAAGGUUUGAUAAAAUGUAUUGUUUUACCACCUCAAAACGAAUUUCAUCCGAUUCUCCCUGUACGCAUGCAUUCAAAACUCAUGUUCCCAUUGUGUCGAACAUGUUGUGAAAAUUUGCAACAAACAGAAUGUGAACAUGAACCAGAAUUUCGAGAAAUAAAAGGUACAUGGGUUUCGGAUGAAUUAAAAAAAGCUAUUGAGAAAGGUUAUAAACUUAUUAAAGUUUUUGAGGUUUGGCAAUACAAGACAACAAAAUAUGAUUGUCAAACCGGUCAAGGGGGGCUUUUUUUAGAGUAUAUAAACAUGUGGUUUAAGCUUAAACAAGAAGCUGGAGGUUGGCCUCGUGAAUGUGUUGACGAUGCGUCAAAAGAGCAAUAUUUGCAUGAACAUUUUAAGGUCGAAGGUGUGCAAUUAGAUAAAAAUAAAAUUGUAAAAAAUCCAGGUCUUAGAUCUGUUGCAAAAUUGUGUUUAAAUUCUUUUUGGGGAAAAUUUGGUCAAAGAGACAAUUUACCUCAAACGGAAAUUGUACAUGAGCAACAACGACUCAUGGAAUUAUUGUUUGAUUCGCAAAAAGUUGUUCAUAAUAUUUUACCAGUAAAUGAUGAAAUAUUGUAUGUAACUUUCUCGAGUCAAGAAGGUACAUCGCUAAUUACAGAGUAUACAAACGUUGUAUUAGCUGCGUAUGUAACAGCUCAAGCACGUUUGAAGCUCUAUUCAUACCUCGAGCGGUUAGACAAUCCUGUCUUGUAUUACGACACUGAUUCGUGUAUAUAUGUAAAUAGUGUUAAUAAUAAAAACGAAUAUCAACCCGAAAUUGGUAGUUUCUUGGGUCAAAUGACGGAUGAACUCGCUGUACAAUAUGGAGAGGGUAGUUAUAUAGAAAGCUUUGUUUCCGGUGGACCUAAAUUUUACGGGUAUAAAGUGAUUGAUUGCAAAGGUAACAUUCAUUAUACCUGUAAAGUUAAAGGUUUUACAUUAAAUUAUGAAAAUAGUGAAAAAAUAAAUUUUCAUAGUUUAAAAGAAAUGAUUGUCGAUAAAACUGUAAAUUCUCUGCAAACAUCUUCACGAGUUAUUCGACGAACGCCAUAUCAUGAAGUGAUAACAUGCACAGAAAACAAAGUGUGCAAACCUGUAAACAACAAACGCAGAUGCUUAGAAAAAUAUGACUCAGUACCGUAUGGGUUUAAAAACAGCACAUUAAAUUUAUAAAUAAAUAAACAAACUCCUAUUGUCGCAAAAAAUCCUUUUGAUCUUGACCUGUGGCAUAAUGUUAACAUCAACUUAUUACUGGGUGUAUGGCUACUACAAUCCGAUGAUUCUUCUGAAUAAUGAACCACAAAUGCAUUGUGCAACAGCAACUCAGUCGUCGUCGUCGUCAACAAUGUCAGAUCUGUAAAACGUUUAAAAUACUUGUAAAU